UACGUAGGGGGCAAGCGUUGUUCGGAUUUACUGGGCGUAAAGGGCGCGUAGGCGGCCACCGCAAGUCGAUUGUGAAAUCUCCGGGCUUAACCCGGAAAGGUCAACCGAUACUGCGGGGCUAGAGUGCAGAAGGGGCAACUGGAAUUCUCGGUGUAGCGGUGAAAUGCGUAGAUAUCGAGAGGAACACCUGCGGCGAAGGCGGGUUGCUGGGCUGACACUGACGCUGAUGUGCGAAAGCUAGGGGAGCGAACGGG
rnacentral:rRNA from 1 species